rnacentral:rRNA from 1 species
GACGAACGCUGGCGGCGUGCCUAAUACAUGCAAGUAGAACGCACAGUUUAUACCGUAGCUUGCUACACCAUAAACUGUGAGUUGCGAACGGGUGAGUAACGCGUAGGUAACCUGCCUGGUAGCGGGGGAUAACUAUUGGAAACGAUAGCUAAUACCGCAUAAUAUUGAUUAUUGCAUGAUAAUUGAUUGAAAGAUGCUAUUGCAUCACUACCAGAUGGACCUGCGUUGUAUUAGCUAGUAGGUGAGGUAACGGCUCACCUAGGCGACGAUACAUAGCCGACCUGAGAGGGUGAUCGGCCACACUGGGACUGAGACACGGCCCAGACUCCUACGGGAGGCAGCAGUAGGGAAUCUUCGGCAAUGGACGAAAGUCUGACCGAGCAACGCCGCGUGAGUGAAGAAGGUUUUCGGAUCGUAAAGCUCUGUUGUAAGAGAAGAACGGGUGUGAGAGUGGAAAGUUCACACUGUGACGGUAUCUUACCGGAAAGGGACGGCUAACUACGUG